AAACUCAGCCCAGUUCAGCAAUAGACGGGUUUAUAAGAAGAUACCCAGUCUGGAGUCAGACGUUUAAUUAACUUAAUGAUUAUAAUUAUUAGUAGGGUUAUUACGAAGUCUUUCUGCUGUGUUUUAUUAUAGUUUAUAACUAUCUACUAUCCACUUAGGAUGCCAUAGACACACUUAUUCUUCUUCUUCUGCUACUACAACUACUACUACUAUUACAACUAUAGCCAGAUAUACGUACCAGGGAGUUGAAGCUCUCUCUCUCUCUACUAAUCUCUCUGUUCCUUCUAGGGAGUUGAAGCUCUCUCUCUCUCUACUAAUCUCUAUGUUCCUUCCAGGGGAGUUGUAGAUCUCUCUCGCUCUCUCUCUCUCUCUCUACUGAUCUCUCUGUUCCUUCCAGGGGAGUUGUAGUGAGAGGUUUGGCCCGUCAUAUGAUUCAUGGACAGACAGACAGACAGACAGACAGGCAGACAGACAGGGAGGCAGGCAGGCAGACAGACAGACCAGGAGAGAGAGAGAUAGAUCAGGAGAGAGAGAGAUAGAGAGGAGGAGGAUUCAGGAGAGAGAGAGAUAGAGAGGAGGAGGAAUCAGGAGAGAGAGGGGAGGAGGAAUCAGGAGAGAGAGAUCGAGAGGAGGAGGAAUCAGGAGAGAGAGAGAUAGAGGAGGAGGAAUCAGGAGAGAGAUAGAGAGGAGGAGGAAUCAGGAGAGAGAGAUAGAGAGAGGAGGAGGAAUCAGGAGAGAGAGAUAGAGAGGAGGAGGAAUCAGGAGAGAGAGAUAGAGAGGAGGAGGAAUCAGGAGAGAGAGAUAGAGGAGUAGGAAUCAGGAGAGAGAUAGAGAGGAGGAGGAAUCAGGAGAGAGAGAUAGAGAGGAGGAGGAAUCAGGAGAGAGAGAUAGAGGAGUAGGAAUCAGGAGAGAGAUAGAGAGGAGGAGGAAUCAGGAGAGAGAGAGAGAGGAGGAGGAAUCAGGAGAGAGAGAGAUAGAGAGGAGGAGGAAUCAGGACAGAGAGAUAGAGAUGAGGAGGAAUCAGGAGAGAGAGAGAUAGAGAGGAGGAGGAAUCAGGACAGAGAGAUAGAGAUGAGGAGGAAUCAGGAGAGAGAGAGAUAGAGAGGAGGAGGAAUCAGGAGAGAGAUAGAGAUGAGGAGGAAUCAGGAGAGAGAGAUAGAGAGGAGCAGGAAUUAGAGAGAGAGAUGUAGAGGAGGUAGAAUUAGGAGAGAUAGAGAGGAGGUGGAAUCAGGAGAUAUAUAUAGAGAGGAGGAGGAGUCAGGUAAGAGAGAGAUAGAAACAAGGAGGAAUCAGGAGAGAGGGAAAUGGAGAUCAGGGGGAAUCAGGAGAGAGAUAGAUAGAGACAAUGAUGAUUCAGGAGAGAAAGAGAGAGGAGGAUGAAUCAGGAGGGAGAGAUAGAGAGGAGGAGGAAUCAGGACAGAGAGAUAGAGAUGAGGAGGAAUCAGGAGAGAGAGAGAUAGAGAGGAGGAGGAAUCAGGAGAGAGAUAGAGAUGAGGAGGAAUCAGGAGAGAGAGAUGUAGAGGAGGUAGAAUUAGGAGAGAUAGAGAGGAGGUGGAAUCAGGAGAUAUAUAUAGAGAGGAGGAGGAGUCAGGUAAGAGAGAGAUAGAAACAAGGAGGAAUCAGGAGAGAGGGAAAUGGAGAGCAGGGGGAAUCAGGAGAGAGAUAGAUAGAGACAAUGAUGAUUCAGGAGAGAAAGAGAGAGGAGGAUGAAUCAGGAGGGAGAGAUAGAGAGGAGGAGGUAUCAGGAGAGAGAUAGAGAGGAGGAGGAAUCAGCAGAGAGAGAAAGAGAGGAGGAGGAAUCAGGAGAGAUAGAGAGAUAGAGAGGAGGAGGAAUCAGGAGAGAGAUAGAUGGAGAGGAGGAGGAAUCAGGAGAGAUAGAGAGGAGGAGGAAUCAGGAUAGAAAGAGAUAGAGAGGAGGAGGAAUCAGGUGAGAGAGAGGAGGAGGAAUCAGAGAGAGAGAUAGAGAGGAGGAUGUAUCAGGAGAGAGAGAAAGAGAGGAGGAGGAAUCAGGAGAGAGAGAGGAGGAGGAAUCAGAGAGAGAGAGAGGAGGAGGAAUCAGGAGAGAGAGAGAUAGAGGGGAGGAGGAAUCAGGAGAGAGGGAGAUAGAGAGGAGGAGGAAUCAGGAGAGAGAGAGGAGGAGGAAUCAGGAGAGAGAGAGGAGGAAUCAGUAGAGAGAGAUAGGAUGUGGACAGUUGGAAGGGAGGAGGGGG
ensembl:lncRNA